AUUGAACGCUGGCGGCAUGCCUUACACAUGCAAGUCGAACGGCAGCGCGGGGGCAACCUGGCGGCGAGUGGCGAACGGGUGAGUAAUAUAUCGGAACAUACCCUAGAGUGGGGAUAACGUAGCGAAAGUUACGCUAAUACCGCAUACGCACUAAGGUGGAAAGUGGGGGAUCUUCGGACCUCAUGCUCAUGGAGUGGCCGAUAUCUGAUUAGCUAGUUGGUGAGGUAAAGGCUCACCAAGGCGACGAUCAGUAGCUGGUUUGAGAGAACGACCAGCCUCACUGGAACUGAGACACGGUCCAGACUCCUACGGAGGCAGCAGUGGGGAAUUUUGGACAAUGGGGGCAACCCUGGAUCCAGCAAUGCCGCGUGAGUGAAGAAGGCCUCGGUU
rnacentral:rRNA from 1 species